rnacentral:rRNA from 1 species
UACGAAGGGGGCUAGCGUUGUUCGGAAUUACUGGGCGUAAAGCGCACGUAGGUGGGUUGUUAAGUCAGGGGUGAAAUCCUGGAGCUCAACUCCAGAACUGCCUUUGAUACUGGCAACCUAGAGACUGGAAGAGGUUAGUGGAAUUCCCAGUGUAGAGGUGAAAUUCGUAGAUAUUGGGAAGAACACCAGUGGCGAAGGCGGCUAACUGGUCCAGCACUGACGCUGAGGUGCGAAAGCGUGGGGAGCAAACAGG